UUGGACUGGAUGAUCCUGUGGGUCUUUUCCAACCUUAGCAAUUCUAUGAUUCUAUGAUUCUAUGAAUCAUCACAAAAACACAAACAGGAAAAGGCAUGUAAAAGCUGAAGAUGAGGCGUGGCCUACCUCGUUGCUUCUCCUUGCUCAGAUCUUAUCAGAGAGGCACUGCUCUGACGGAAUUUGAAAAUAUUUCUGGUCCUGACUUGUUUAUCAUGAAAUGGUGGGGGCAAAGCUCCUUGCUGUCUUGAAUAUUGAGCCAAAGAACUCAGGGAAGUACUACAAGAGACUUCAGCUUUCCUUAAUGUAAAGUGCUACCUUGUUCCUACCAGUUGGUCAAACCAGUGGAUUCCAGCCCUAAUUUGACAACAACAUAAAAACCCAUUGUAACAUCUGAAGAUUUUGGAAAUGUCUGUUUCUGAAUGCAGUGCUAAUUGGGAUGUGGUGUUUGGAAAAGUCCAGCAUGUUUUACAGUUCAGUCUGACAAGCUGAAAUCUGUUACUUUUCUUCAUUUUCUUUCCAGGCGAAAGCAGUUUGUACAGUUUAAGGAUUUUAAUGAUACAGUAAUGACACGAGCAUUCAAUACAAUUUGAAUGAAAUAAGAUAUGAAAUAAUUUAUAUUGUAUGAAUAAGGGUGAACUAGUAAGAGUAUAUUACUCUCUCUGAAGAGAAGCAGAGAUACAGGCGGACAGCAGCAUUUGAAGGGAGUAUGGGAAUCAGUAUGCAGAAGGUGUCUCUGUGGCCAUCUGGAGUUGGAGGGAGGAGCUCUUACCUCCUUACAGUCGCAAGUUUGUCCCAGCAGAGUUCUCCGUAGCCCCACUUUUGGAAUCGAUUCUACUAGGUGGUACAGCCUAGUUCUGAGGAGAAAACAGGUGGUUGAAGAUACCAUCAACAGCUGCCACAGUGUGAAGGCUGCCUGAUACUCUUCUCUCUUGGACAGCACCUUGUGGGAUUUACUCUACAUGAAAUCAAUUCCCUACAUUUGAAUACAGCUGACAAACUGCUAAACAUGGGUUUGUAGUUAGUAGAAGAUUGGGCAACUUUGACUUAUCACUAUUUAAAUAAUGGUGAUAAAACUUGUGUUGUGUAAUUUAAAACAUUCACAGAAUAAUUAAAAGUCUGUGAGAUGUAGUUGUCAGAAAUGUGAAUUAACUUCAAAUUGAUUGUUUUGUUCGGAAACCAAUGAUGGUAAUUCAUGGCAUGACGAAAACUAAGAAUGUGAAACUGUAAAAUAAACUGAAUUCAGUGUC
ensembl:lncRNA